UACGUAGGGUGCAAGCGUUACUCGGAAUCAUUGGGCGUAAAGCGCGUGUAAGUGGCUAUGUAAGUCUGAUGUGAAAGCCCUGGACUCAAUCCAGGAAGUGCAUUGGAUACUGCAUUGCUAGAGUAUAGGAGAGGUGGACGGAAUUCCUGGUGUAGAGGUGAAAUUCGUAGAUAUCAGGAGGAACAACAGAGGCGAAGGCGGUUCACUGGACUAUAACUGACACUCAGACGCGAAAGUGUGGGGAGCAAACAGG
rnacentral:rRNA from 1 species